rnacentral:rRNA from 1 species
ACCCAAUAGAUACCCGGGUAGUCCCAGCCGUAAACUAUGCUCGCUAGGUGUCAGGCAUGGCGCGACCGUGUCUGGUGCCGCAGGGAAGCCGUGAAGCGAGCCACCUGGGAAGUACGGCCGCAAGGCUGAAACUUAAAGGAAUUGGCGGGGGAGCACAACAACGGGUGGAGCCUGCGGUUUAAUUGGACUCAACGCCGGACAACUCACCGGGAACGACAGCAAUAUGUAGGCCAGGCUGAAGACCUUGCCUGAAUCGCUGAGAGGAGGUGCAUGGCCGUCGCCAGUUCGUACUGUGAAGCAUCCUGUUAAGUCAGGCAACGAGCGAGACCCGUGCCCACUGUUACCAGCAUAUCCUCCGGGAUGAUGGGUACUCUGUGGGGUACCGCUGAUGUUAAACUCAGAGGAAGGUGCGGGCUACGGUAGGUCAGUAUG